CGGGGGGCCUAAUGUAUGCUUGGGUCCAACUUAUAUCUCUUGAUUAGCCAGAUUUUUUGUUCCACUGUUGAUUCCUGUUGCCACGGUGCUGUCGAAGGGCAAAAUUCUGUUCUGUUACUAUGCGUCUUGAUUCUUUGAAUUAUUUUCACGCAGCAAGCAUUCCAUGUUUUUAUUUAUGAAUUAAUUCACUGGUAUUAACAAGUACUGCAGCAGGUUAAAACAUUACUGACUCUUAUGAUAAAUAUGCUUUAACAGUAUUACAGUAGUUGAUAUGUGGCGAACUACACCUUUCAUUUGAUUUAUUAAUGUUACCAAGUGUGCUGUGUAAA